AGAGUUUGAUCAUGGCUCAGAUUGAACGCUGGCGGCAGGCCUAACACAUGCAAGUCGAACGGUAACAGGAAGCAGCUUGCUGCUUCGCUGACGAGUGGCGGACGGGUGAGUAAUGUCUGGGAAACUGCCUGAUGGAGGGGGAUAACUACUGGAAACGGUGGCUAAUACCGCAUAACGUCGCAAGACCAAAGAGGGGGACCUUCGGGCCUCUUGCCAUCAGAUGUGCCCAGAUGGGAUUAGCUAGUUGGUGAGGUAACGGCUCACCAAGGCGACGAUCCCUAGCUGGUCUGAGAGGAUGACCAGCCACACUGGAACUGAGACACGGUCCAGACUCCUACGGGAGGCAGCAGUGGGGAAUAUUGCACAAUGGGCGCAAGCCUGAUGCAGCCAUGCCGCGUGUAUGAAGAAGGCCUUCGGGUUGUAAAGUACUUUCAGCGGGGAGGAAGGUGUUGUGGUUAAUAACCGCAGCAAUUGACGUUACCCGCAGAAGAAGCACCGGCUAACUCCGUGCCAGCAGCCGCGGUAAUACGGAGGGUGCAAGCGUUAAUCGGAAUUACUGGGCGUAAAGCGCACGCAGGCGGUCUGUCAAGUCGGAUGUGAAAUCCCCGGGCUCAACCUGGGAACUGCAUUCGAAACUGGCAGGCUUGAGUCUUGUAGAGGGGGGUAGAAUUCCAGGUGUAGCGGUGAAAUGCGUAGAGAUCUGGAGGAAUACCGGUGGCGAAGGCGGCCCCCUGGACAAAGACUGACGCUCAGGUGCGAAAGCGUGGGGAGCAAACAGGAUUAGAUACCCUGGUAGUCCACGCCGUAAACGAUGUCUACUUGGAGGUUGUGCCCUUGAGGCGUGGCUUCCGGAGCUAACGCGUUAAGUAGACCGCCUGGGGAGUACGGCCGCAAGGUUAAAACUCAAAUGAAUUGACGGGGGCCCGCACAAGCGGUGGAGCAUGUGGUUUAAUUCGAUGCAACGCGAAGAACCUUACCUGGUCUUGACAUCCACAGAACUUUCCAGAGAUGGAUUGGUGCCUUCGGGAACUGUGAGACAGGUGCUGCAUGGCUGUCGUCAGCUCGUGUUGUGAAAUGUUGGGUUAAGUCC
rnacentral:rRNA from 1 species